GGCCAAGCUAUUAAGGGUAUACGGUGGAUGCCUUGGCGAGUCCUGGCGAUGAAGGACGUGGCAAGCUGCGAUAAGCCCCGGGGAGGUGCAAGCAACCUGUGAUCCGGGGAUUUCCGAAUGGGGUAACCCAUCCAUCUGUAAAGAUGGAUAUCCACGAGUUUAGCUCGUGGAGGCGAACCGGGGGAAGUGAACCAUCUCAGUACCCCGAGGAAAAGAAAGAAAAAUUCGAUUCCCUGAGUAGCGGCGAGCGAAAGGGGAAGAGCCCAAACCGAAUAAGGGCAAAGCGUAGGCGCGUUCCUUAUUCGGGGUUGUAGGGUCUGGCACGGAAAGGCCUACCUUUCCUAAAGGCGCAUAAAAUUCCCCAAAAUAGCCGAAUGACAUGGAAAGGUCAACCAUAGAAGGUGAAA
rnacentral:rRNA from 1 species